rnacentral:ncRNA from 1 species
UUUGACACAAAGUCAAAGACUUAUGCGGAAACAAACCGCGUAGCCAGGAGAACUGGCAUUGGACUCCUAAGAAGGAGAAAACAAAUG